GCCAGCGUAGCUCAGAGGUAGAGCACUUCCUUGGUAAGGAAGGGGUCGGGAGUUCAAUUCUCCCCGCCGGCUC
rnacentral:tRNA from 1 species